rnacentral:rRNA from 1 species
UCAGGAUGAACGCUAGCGACAGGCCUAACACAUGCAAGUCGAGGGGCAGCACAUGAGUAGCAAUACGAUGGUGGCGACCGGCGCACGGGUAGAGUAACACGUAUGCAACCUACCUGUAANAGGGGAAUAACCCCGGAGAAAUUCGGACUAAUACCGCAUAAUACUGAAUUGCUGCAUGGUAAUUUAGUUAAACAUUUAUGGCUUACAGAUGGGCAUGCGUAUGAUUAGCUAGUUGGUGAGGUAACGGCUCACCAAGGCAACGAUCAUUAGGGGUUCUGAGAGGAAGGUCCCCCACACUGGUACUGAGACACGGACCAGACUCCUACGGGAGGCAGCAGUGAGGAAUAUUGGUCAAUGGGCGAGAGCCUGAACCAGCCAAGUCGCGUGAAGGAAGAAGGUUCUAUGGAUUGUAAACUUCUUUUGUAAGGGAAUAAAAAGAGUUACGUGUAACUUAUUGUAUGUACUUUACGAAUAAGGAUCGGCUAACUCCGUG